rnacentral:lncRNA from 1 species
GUGUAAUGCAAUGUUGACAAUAGAAAAUUAUAUUGGGAAGUUGUCAUUUCUACAGUAAAAACAGCUUUUUUUCAAGUAGUACGAAAUGUGACUUCGAUUUAUCUGUGGAACUAUUUCAACAGAAGGUAAAGCAGUAAUUUUGUUGUAUUUAGAAAGCAAACAGGGUCAUAUUUUAAAGAAAAUAGCGCACUAAAUAUAAAUUUGAGCAUCAUUAAAAUGUGUUCGCUAUGAUGCCAUUUUGUCUCCAGUAUAUACGGAGUACUGCAUUUAUACUGGUGGAUAUUCGAAUUUAUUUGGCUCAAAAACACCAUUACUUCAAUAUCCCUUUCUUGUUUUUCCUUGGAUAGGUUUUAACAAGAUAGAACUCUAGAUCACUUGGGUCCAAAAACGCUAGAUUAUAAAAUCCUGAUGUGACUUGAUACUACAAAUAGAAUAUGUCUUGUGAUGUAAUACUACAAAUAGAAUGUCAAACUUCAAUGAAUUGAUAAAGUGUAAGGAUAGUGUUUAAAGUCGCUUCAUGUGUAGAAGCUGAAUUACUUUAGUUUAUACACUGUAUAUUGUCGAGAUCACAUGUUGAUAUGACUUAAUACUAGCAACUUGCAAUAAUGCACCUGUCAAUGUUAACCCCCAGAGGGGGGGGGUCGGGCAUAUGUGGGGUAUUUGAUCAUCAAUUGCAUCCCCACCCUGGGGAUUUUGAUCAGCAUUUUGGCCCCAAGUUGGGCCAUUUGAACCAAUUAACCUUUAUUAAUAUAGUAUUUAUUGCAAAAUAGUGGGGCAUUUGACCAAUAUUUAUUGCCCGACGGUGGGGCAUUUGAUUGAAAAUUUGCUCAAAAAAUCAAAUGCCCCACCUAUGCCCGACCCCCCCCCCCCCUCUGGGGCUUAACAUUGAUAGGUGCAUAAGUGGUCUGUCCUGCUUGUUUAUAAUACUUUAGAGUUUGGACAUUAGAACAUUGUAAUUGCCUGACAGAGACUGUUUAUAGGGCCUGUUUGUAUGGAAGCCGGGCUGGCCCGCUUAGCGAGACAGCCCGGUAAGGUAUAUACACAGGAUGAUUUCUCUUGUGUUUAUUUGAGAAAAUUUCAUCCUGCUUACCGGGACUAUUUUGUUGUUUUGACAUUGUUUUGACAGUUGUUAAAAAUAGCUUGCGGCAGUAUCGUUGAACUUUCAUCCUGGCAACUGGGCUAGCCUGCUUGUGAUUGUUUAUAUGGAGAAAUUUCCAUCCUGGUCUCUGCAACAGGGCCUCCCGCUUGUACAUAGAAACAAUUUUAAUUAUAAUUUUUACUAUAAAAAUAAGUAGACAGCGAGAUCUCACUUACCGGGCUGUCUCACUUAGCGGGCCAGCCAGUUUCGAUAUAAACAGGCCCUUACACAACUGCUAAAAGCUGCAAGUUUCUUUAAAGCAAUAUCAUCUAUAUCACAGAAUACAGUUUCUGUAGUGACAUACUUCGUGUUUUUUCUGUCUUUAAAGUGUCUUAUGUUUGUAAUAUUUUUGUACAAUACCUUUUUGAAAUUGUUGAUACUGGUCUCAUUGUAACUCAGUUAUUCCUUCUCAAGAAAAAUAAAAAAACAAAGCUGUGUGGGUGUGUUUUUGCUCUUAACUAGUUUUUACAUCUACAUGAUUCAUGUACAAUUAAUGUACAUUUAAAUUAGCUUUGUUCAAUGAAUACAGGUGUGAUUCAAAUAUCAUUCCUGUCUGGUACUUGGGUCAAAUAGACAUAAGCAUACCAAAUCAUGCUAUGAAUUGAAAUACAAGUAUAGGGUGUGUAUUACUGUAUUGUUUAAAUAAAUAUAUUUUCCAGUUAACCCAGUAAGCUGCAUUGUGCCCCAAUGCACCCUACUUUACUAGUUUAUUUCACUUCAUCUAAUGCCAGAUGAUUUUACUUAUCGAGGGAGAGUGCUGCUGCUCAUUGAGCUCUGAUUGAGUUCACUGAAUGGCAG